rnacentral:rRNA from 1 species
ACGGAAGGCAGCAGUGAGGAAUAUUGGUCAAUGGGCGGAAGCCUGAACCAGCCAAGUCGCGUGAAGGAUGAAGGUAUUAUGUAUUGUAAACUUCUUUAGCAGUGGAGUGAUAAGGAGGUCGAGACCUCUGAUGCAAGUACACUGAAAAUAAGGAUCGGCUAACUCCGUGCCAGCAGCCGCGGUAAUACGGAGGAUCCGAGCGUUAUCCGGAUUUAUUGGGUUUAAAGGGAGCGUAGGCGGGUCCUUAAGUCAGUGGUCAAAGCGUGUGGCUCAACCAUACCACGCCGUUGAUACUGGGGACCUUGAGUGCACAUAAGGAUGGUGGAAUUCGUCGUGUAGCGGUGAAAUGCUUAGAUAUGACGAAGAACUCCGAUUGCGAAGGCAGCUGUCCGGGGUGUAACUGACGCUAAUGCUCGAAAGUGCGGGUAUCAAACAGGAUUAGAUACCCUGGUA